UGGGCCUUCUUCAUCAAGGGGUGUAACUGCUCAUGUGCACUGAAGGAGCUCUUCUUCUCUGUGUGUGAAAUCAUCUCUCUCCAAAAUAAACACCAUAUGGUCAGGGAGAAAGGGACCAGGAAAAGAGGAAGGCGCAGCAGCUGAAGCUGAUAGGAGACAAAAUGGACUGAAUGAGGGGCCAGGGGCUCAUACUGUUCCAGCAAGGAAAUCCUGGGGGCUUUCAGAGCAGUAGCAGCAGAACUGGUGAUACAUUCUGAAUAACAUGGACUAGAAACUGCUCUUUCUUCGUGGAUUCUGUAUCUGGAUUUUGUCAAUAUUCACUUUCUGCACCCAUUUCAUGAUAACACCAUUGAUUUAUUCAUUAAAUCAUAAGUGUCAAAAGAACUGAAUUGUGCAUCAGAACUUUCCCAUCAGCUGAUGAAAGAGCCAUGUAAAAAAAAAGAAUUCACCAGCCCCUGUGACUGAAUUUGAGCGAUAAUGUCAAUGGAAUUAACACAUUGCCAUUGUUGAAUGGUCUCCUGUGGCUAUAUAAACAUCAAGCACUUCUAAGGGCCUAAUUCCAUUUCUGAAGAGGACCUUUUGAAAAAACUGGGGUAGAACUACCUUCAGGAAACCCAGGAUUCUUCAACAACCUCUGCAAACAGAAACAGACUGAGGCUUAAAUACCUCUCCUACAUUGCUGAGUGAAAUGUUGAUUCGUUGUCACUGUCUCACCUAAUGCAAGAGGGAAAUAACUGAUGGGGAUGUGGCACAGAAGUGGUUUGGAAUUCCUUGGGUCACAGAACCAUGGAGAAUGGCUGCACUGCAAAAGCCAGAGCUGGUCAGUAGGACAUGCAGCCCAAGCCAUUGCUGCAGAUCCUUCCUCUCUUUGUCCCUUUGGACAUCAAAGGAUCGCAAGGGGACAGCCCUGGCGGGAAGCUCCUCCCUGCUCAUUAGCCUCCAUAAAACAGGAACUCACCUUG